GGCUGAGUAGUAUAAAGGCUAAAUGCUUCGGAUUGCAAAUCCGUAAAUGGCGGUUCGAUUCCGCCCUUAGCCU
rnacentral:tRNA from 1 species